UUCGUUGUAGUCUAGUUGGUUAAGGACACUCGGCUCUCACCCGAGAGACUCGGGUUCAACUCCCGGCAACUGGA
rnacentral:tRNA from 1 species